rnacentral:rRNA from 1 species
UCAGAACAUGGGUGAUAAGGUCCGUGUUCGAAAGGGAAACAGCCCAGACCACCAGCUAAGGUCCCAAAAUAUAUGUUAAGUGGAAAAGGAUGUGGCGUUGCCCAGACAACUAGGAUGUUGGCUUAGAAGCAGCCAUCAUUUAAAGAGUGCGUAAUAGCUCACUAGUCGAGUGACACUGCGCCGAAAAUGUACCGGGGCUAAACAUAUUACCGAAGCUGUGGAUUGUCCUUUGGACAAUGGUAGGAGAGCGUUCUAAGGGCGUUGAAGCAUGAUCGUAAGGACAUGUGGAGCGCUUAGAAGUGAGAA